CCUACGGGGUGCAGCAGUAGGGAAUCUUCCGCAAUGGACGAAAGUCUGACGGAGCAUCGCCGCGUGAGUGAUGAAGGCUUUCGGGUCGUAAAACUCUGUUGUUAGGGAAGAACAAGUGCUAGUUGAAUAAGCUGACACCUUGACAGUACCUAACCAGAAAGCCACGGCUAACUACGUGCCAGCAGCCGCGGUAAUACGUAGGUGGCAAGCGUUAUCCGGAAUUAUUGGGCGUAAAGCGCGCGCAGGUGGUUUCUUAAGUCUGAUGUGAAAGCCCACGGCUCAACCGUGGAGGGUCAUUGGAAACUGGGAGACUUGAGUGCAGAAGAGGAAAGUGGAAUUCCAUGUGUAGCGGUGAAAUGCGUAGAGAUAUGGAGGAACACCAGUGGCGAAGGCGACUUUCUGGUCUGUAACUGACACUGAGGCGCGAAAGCGUGGGGAGCAAACAGGAUUAGAUACCCGCGUAGUC
rnacentral:rRNA from 1 species